CCUACGCGAGGCAGCAGUGGGGGAUAUUGCACAAUGGGGGGAACCCUGAUGCAGCGACGCCGCGUGGGUGAAGAAGCGCCUCGGCGCGUAAAGCCCUGUCAGCAGGGAAGAAAAUGACGGUACCUGAAGAAGAAGCACCGGCUAAUUACGUGCCAGCAGCCGCGGUAAUACGCAGGGGGCAAGCGUUAUCCGGAUUUACUGGGUGUAACGGGGGCGCAGACGGCGAUGCAAGCCAGGAGUGAAAGCCCGGGGCCCAACCCCGGGACUGCGCUUGGAACUGCGUGGCUGGAGUGCAGGAGGGGCAGGCGGAAUUCCUGGUGUAGCGGUGAAAUGCGUAGAUAUCAGGAGGAACACCGGUGGCGAAGGCGGCCUGCUGGACUGCAACUGACGUUGAGGCCCGAAAGCGUGGGGAGCAAACAGGAUUAGAUACCCUUGUAGUC
rnacentral:rRNA from 1 species